GGGUGAUUUAAUGCUGAUCUAUCCUCCUUUCUGUUUGUAGCUGGAUCCUUAUCUGUGAUCUUAUGUCUCCAGGCCUGCUGUCACAGGCAACCAGCAAAGAAAGGACGUGUCUGUGUGAAGCAGGAUUACACAAAAUAUACCAAGCCGAAUUUUACCAAACCUGAUGGAGAGGUGAAGCAGAGCUGAACAGAGCAUCUCUUUUUCAGUUUGUGACUUUCUUGCUUGUGUGACCAGCUGAUUAGCCAUCAUGCCAUACAGCUGUGGGGGAACUAAUGAUUGGUUUGGCUGUUGCAGCAGGGGGUUCAAAUUGAUUGACGGACGUAGCUCCAGUAUACUCCUGAACACUCCUGGACAGACCAGUCUUCUGUGGCUGCAGUGCAGAGUCUGCUGACGGUGUCUCGGUUUAGCGGCGGCGUCAUGCGCGUGUAGCGUCGGACAGCCGAGGU
ensembl:lncRNA